rnacentral:lncRNA from 1 species
CGAAGAAUCAUCACACUUGACAAAGACCAUUUGACCACAAGAUCCACAAUAAUUAGGUGCUGCUGCAAUUGUAACAGACACGCACACAUAGAGAGAAGCAGAGAGAGAGAGAGUAACACAUGGAUAGAGAGUAGCAGCAGCCUACACUUAGAGAAAGAAGCUACAUUAGUUACUAAAGAGAGCAGCAACAGCGCCGCACUAGUUUAUAGAAGGAAUGCGGGAGCACUAGUUUAUAGAAGGAACGAUCCACAAUAUCCGCGCUCAAGAAGCAACAACAACAUGUUAGGUAUUAGAAGUGGGCUAUUCACCAGCCGGAAGACGGGCAGGUAACACAGAGCAAAAGAGCAGCAAUCCGGAUGAGCCAAGAACAUGAAGAGAAGCAGAGAGAACGACUGAGUUUCUCUCCUCACCUACAGGGGGAAAACUUCUCUUCAGAAUGCAAUUGUAUUCAGAAGAGAAAUCUACAGAGACAAUUUUUGCAGGAAAUUUUCAUGCAAAUUCAAAGGAGUUCAAAUCCUCAUGCGAAACAAGUUCAACGUAGAGAGGAAGGGCAAUAACUGACGUUGAAGAGGAGCACGUGGUUCGAGUGGAG